rnacentral:rRNA from 1 species
CAUGCAGUCGAACGAGUUCUGAUUAUUGAAAGGUGCUUGCAUCUUGAUUUAAUUUUGAACGAGUGGCGGACGGGUGAGUAACACGUGGGUAACCUGCCCUUAAGUGGGGGAUAACAUUUGGAAACAGAUGCUAAUACCGCAUAAAUCCAAGAACCGCAUGGUUCUUGGCUGAAAGAUGGCGUAAGCUAUCGCUUUUGGAUGGACCCGCGGCGUAUUAGCUAGUUGGUGAGGUAACGGCUCACCAAGGCAAUGAUACGUAGCCGAACUGAGAGGUUGAUCGGCCACAUUGGGACUGAGACACGGCCCAAACUCCUACGGGAGGCAGCAGUAGGGAAUCUUCCACAAUGGACGCAAGUCUGAUGGAGCAACGCCGCGUGAGUGAAGAAGGCUUUCGGGUCGUAAAACUCUGUUGUUGGAGAAGAAUGGUCGGCAGAGUAACUGUUGUCGGCGUGACGGUAUCCAACCAGAAAGCCACGGCUAACUACGUGCCAGCAGCCGCGGUAAUACGUAGGUGGCAAGCGUUAUCCGGAUUUAUUGGGCGUAAAGCGAGCGCAGGCGGUUUUUUAAGUCUGAUGUGAAAGCCCUCGGCUUAACCGAGGAAGUGCAUCGGAAACUGGGAAACUUGAGUGCAGAAGAGGACAGUGGAACUCCAUGUGUAGCGGUGAAAUGCGUAGAUAUAUGGAAGAACACCAGUGGCGAAGGCGGCUGUCUGGUCUGUAACUGACGCUGAGGCUCGAAAGCAUGGGUAGCGAACAGGAUUAGAUACCCUGGUAGUCCAUGCCGUAAACGAUGAAUGCUAGGUGUUGGAGGGUUUCCGCCCUUCAGUGCCGCAGCUAACGCAUUAAGCAUUCCGCCUGGGGAGUACGACCGCAAGGUUGAAACUCAAAGGAAUUGACGGGGGCCCGCACAAGCGGUGGAGCAUGUGGUUUAAUUCGAAGCAACGCGAAGAACCUUACCAGGUCUUGACAUCUUUUGAUCACCUGAGAGAUCAGGUUUCCCCUUCGGGGGCAAAAUGACAGGUGGUGCAUGGUUGUCGUCAGCUCGUGUCGUGAGAUGUUGGGUUAAGUCCCGCAACGAGCGCAACCCUUAUGACUAGUUGCCAGCAUUUAGUUGGGCACUCUAGUAAGACUGCCGGUGACAAACCGGAGGAAGGUGGGGAUGACGUCAAAUCAUCAUGCCCCUUAUGACCUGGGCUACACACGUGCUACAAUGGAUGGUACAACGAGUUGCGAGACCGCGAGGUCAAGCUAAUCUCUUAAAGCCAUUCUCAGUUCGGACUGUAGGCUGCAACUCGCCUACACGAAGUCGGAAUCGCUAGUAAUCGCGGAUCAGCACGCCGCGGUGAAUACGUUCCCGGGCCUUGUACACACCGCCCGUCACACCAUGAGAGUUUGUAACACCCGAAGCCGGUGGCGUAACCCUUUUAGGGAGCGAGCCGUCUAAGU